UUUUCAUAUUAUUAUUUUUUUUUUCUUCUAUUUGUCUGAAUGUUAUUGAGCAAUGUUAUUUAAUUCCUCUUUCCACUGUAUGUACAUAUAUAUAUAUUAAACAAAGAUAUGGUGCAUAUAUGAAUCGUUUAAAUCCAGCAUUAUGGUACUGUAUUGAGGACAGUGUGGUGAGAAUUGAAAUACUUUUGUUCAAUAAAAGUUUUGCAAAAUAACUUAAAAGGAA